UGGGAGUGGAGGCUGAGCAAACAGCAGGCUUCACCCCCCAGCCCAGGAACCCGGAGCCUCUCAGGCCCUGUGUCUAGGCAAUGAGCGCCUUCCUACUCCGGACCCCCAGCCCCGGCCACGACCCGCACCCAGCCGAGCCGCCUGGCUUCCUCCAGCCCAGCCUCCUGCCCUGAGAAAUGGAAGCCAAGGACACAGCUGUUCCAGGCACCCUUCCCAAAGCGACUCCGGUCGGUCAGCCGACUGAGAAGGUCCCACGUGCCAGGAAUCAGACUGCCGCCCUUCCUCUCACAGAUGUAAGCUUACCAACAUCGGUACGAGGCCGCCUUCGGGGUCAGCUGCCAUGUCACGAGGACACUCCAGCAGCCCCAGGGAGAAGCCCACGGAGCAAGGAACUGAGGCCUCCUGCCAACAGCCAGCACCAAUUUUUCAUUCGUGUGAGUGAGCCAGCAUGGAUGCAGAUGCUCCAGCCUCCGUCAAGCCUUCAGAUGAGCCUGCUGCUCAGGUUGGUGUUUGCUGCCAUCUCACAGAAGACCCUGAGCCAGAGCCACCCAGCAAAGCCUCUGCAGGAUUCCUACCCCUCAGAAACUGUGGGAUGGUAAACUUUAUUGUUGUUGUAAGCCAUUGCAUUUUGAGGUAAUACGUUACACAGUAAUAGAUAACUAAUAUUAACAGAAUACACCCAGGGAAACUGGUGCAGACUCAGGGCUGUGAGUGCCUGGGUGAUUCUGGAAAAAUCUUUAAAACCAAGUUUUCACAUCAGGACUCAAGAAUGGCAUCCCAGAGACGUCAGCCUUGGGGUGUGUAUUAGCGAGAAUUCUUUCCCACAGAAGACAGAAACUUAACCCAUGAACUUAAGCAAAUUAAAAAAAAGUGAGGAAGGUCUUAUCCCAUAAUUAGACCACGUGACUAGGAAGGCUAGGGAGGCGUCAGCUGUGGGCCUGGUGGGAUCUGGGUUUACAUAGUUCCAGGCUCCCAGAAGUGCAAGGGCAUGAGUCACGGCGGUGAGCUGGGAAGAGGGGCUGAGGGCCCGUGGGACCUGGGUCUCCAGCAUCCUCGGACUCCAAAGAGGAAAGAAUCUUGGUAUCAGAGACACAUCUGCAGGGUCAGGAGAACAGCGGGCUCCAACACACCUGUGGGCUUGUCCUCCACCUGUCCCUUAUGUCUCAGUGUCCUCAUGCUUCCCAUCCUCCACCCUCCACUGGCCUCGCUCCACCCCUUCCCCCGUAGCAUCAGUAUCUCUCGAGUGCUCGUCCAGCACUGGACAUCUGGACAUCUCCACCUGGCCCUUACCCUCGCCAGCUCUGCCCUCCUUUACCCCAAGCCUUCUGGAUUGCAGCAAGGUGCAGUGCCAUCCAUUUGACCACCUGAGUCUGAACCCUGGCUUCACCCCCACCCCUCCCUCACCCUCCAUCCCCAGCCACCACUACCCACUCACAAGGCCCUAGAUCCAUCCACAACUUUCCAUUCUAAGGCUUCCACCCUGCUCCGUGCCAUCCCCCUACUUCCUCCCCACCCCAUCGCAGUAGCCAUCUCCCAACUGGUCUCUCUCCCUGUCUUCCCACCCCCGCCUCUCCCCCACCCCCGCCACCCACCAGUCUGCCACCUCCUCCUCCUACCUCCAUCCCUGGGCUGGGGCUGUGCGCUCCAUCUGAAAUUGCAUUUCCCACUCUCACCUGCCAGCUGAAAUCUCCUUUAUUCUUCAGAUUUCUGUUCAGGUGUCACCUCCUCCAAGAAGUCCUCUUGAACACUCCAGAGCUAAUCACUCCGUCCUCGAUGCUGUUGCUGAACCUUCCACGCACCCGUUUGUAGAGUGGUUAUAAACAUGGUCCUGAAUCAAAAAUGGGCUCCCAGACCUGCCACUCACCACCGGUAGGAUCUUGGCAAAGCGGCACCUCACUGUCCACAUCUGUAAAAUGCAGACGAUUCCUACCUCAGCACUAGAGGGAGGGUCAAAUGAGACCGAGUCUGUGGACGCUGUGAAUUCCAUCCUGACUCGGGAUCCAUCUCAUAGACGGGCCCCUGGAGACCAGGCUGUAUGGGGAGCGAGGCCGGCACUGAGCAGAGGGGCUUGGGGAGGGAACUGACAUACCUGGAGCACCUGCCUGUGCCAGGCGCUGGGCUAGACUCUGUAUCUCUAUGACUUAACCUAAUCUUUGCAACAAGAGCUGAGCAUCCUCAGCCACCUUUUCACACAUUUAGAAAGUGAAGCUCAGGAAGUUCAUGGCUUGCCUAGUGUCACACCGGGGAUGGAGGCGGGAUCUGAACCCCUUGUCUGUUGAACUCCAAAGGCUUCCAGCUCUGGCACUGAGUCUGUGCAGACCCAGCUGGGAGGUCCUGGGCCCAGGACAGUUCUCCAGUCCUCAGGAGGGCAGCAAAGUGAGGGUUAGUCAGCCUGGCCCAUGGUGGACUAUCCCCUCCUUUGUAUUGGGUGAUAGACUUCUAGUAAUACAACCCAAGAAGACCAUGGCUUUGCGGUUUCCUCUUCCCAGUUGUGGAAUCAGUUCAAUCCUGCUUACCUCCAGGUCAAAACAGGACACCUUCCCCCACCCUGAGCCCACCCUGCACAUCAUACCUUGAAAUUAACUUGCAAUUGCUGUGAGCUCUGAUUCACCCCCAACCUCCAACUGGCGCCAACAUAAGGAUUGCAUGAGCCAACAGCUCAUGGCUCAUGGUGCUGGAUGAAGGGUGUGGAGCGGGGUGAGGGUGCUGUUCCCUUUCUGGGGGGUAAUUUCCUUUUGUUGCUCAGCUCAGCUCAGCAGCCACCCGCCUCCACCCUCCCUGGCUAAUUAGUCGCCUGAUUUCCAUCAGCCUGAUUAGGUCCAUUUGAGCCACCACCCCACCCUGAGCAGCAGGAAGUUGACUCCAGUUAAGAGAGGAAGCGGCUGACUUAGGGAAGUGGAGGGGGUACAGG
ensembl:lncRNA